rnacentral:lncRNA from 1 species
CUGAUACAUCUACCCUGGGAAGGAAGUUGCCCCUCCUAUUUCCCAGGUGACAGCGCUGGGCACUCAGACUGCGGGGAACUGACCUAUGACCACACAGCGAGCAGGUGGAGGAGGGGAACACCAGCCCUGGGUUUCUCUCGCCCUAACAGCGGACCAGGCCACGGGUUCUCAAGCAUGGCUGCCCAUCAGAGUCAUCUGGGGAGUUUUAAAAAUCCUGGUGCCUGUCACACCCCCUAUCACUGUCAUGGAUAUGUGAUGGAGGCCAGGGAAGACUCAGCUUCAAGAAAUGGAUCUACUCCUCACCAAGGAUAGAGGGAAGUUGUGCCUCUGUUAAGAUAGAAACAUGUAAAUAAUAGCAUUCUCGACACCAUUGCAGGAGGUCAGCAAACUUUUU